rnacentral:tRNA from 1 species
GCCGGAGUGGUGGAAUUGGUAGACACAAGGGACUUAAAAUCCCUCGGGCUUACGCUCGUGCCGGUUCAAGUCCGGCCUCUGGUACCA